rnacentral:rRNA from 1 species
UACGUAGGGGGCAAGCGUUGUCCGGAAUUAUUGGGCGUAAUGAGCGUGUAGGCGGCCAGAUAAGUCCGCUGUGAAAUCUCGAGGCUCAACUUCGAGCUGUCGGUGGAAACUAUCUGGCUAGAGUCCGGAAGAGGAGAAUGGAAUUCCUGGUGUAGCGGUGAAAUGCGCAGAUAUCAGGAAGAACACCCGUGGCGAAGGCGGUUCUCUGGGACGGUACUGACGCUGAGACGCGAAAGCGUGGGGAGCGAACAGG